rnacentral:tRNA from 1 species
GCGGGCGUAGCUCAAUGGCAGAGCACCUGGUUUCCACCCAGGGUACGCGAGUUCGAUUCUCGCCGCCCGCU